GCCCACUACUGUGUGCAGGCUGCCCUCAGUCAAAAGAUAUGCAGAUUUUUAUGAGCUAUUAUAAGAUAUUGAGUAUAGUCCCCCAUGCUAUACAGAGAAACUGAGACCCAGAGAGGCAUAUGCACAAAGUCCAUGAAUCGCUUGUUAUCCAUUCAGUCACACAUUAGUGGACACAUCUUAUAUGCCAGCCAUAUGGUGGGAAGUUCAAGGAUGAAUCAUACAUGGAAAACUCCACUGGAAUUAGGACUCAGGACUCCUCACUUCAAGCACAAAGUUCUUUCCUUCCACUGAAGGCAGGCUGUUAGAAUGACCUCUGCUCCCUUUGGAUUUUGAAGUAGAAGACCAUUUAAAACCUUGUUGCCCACCCAACAUCCCACUCUCAGAGCUUCACUUACCAUCAAGGGCUCACUUAUACACCAACUAGACUAAUAACCCGGAGAAGGCAAUGGCACCCCACUCCAGUAGUCUUGCCUGGAAAAUCCCAUGUACGGGGAAGCCUGGUAGGCUGCAGUCCAUGGGGUCGCUGAGGGUCGCACACAACUGAGCGACUUCACUUUCACUUUUCACUUUCAUGCAUUGGAGAAGGACAUGGCAACCCACUCCAGUGUUCUUGCCUGGAGAAUCCCAGGGACGGGGAAGCCUGGUGGGCUGCCGUCUAUGGGGU
ensembl:lncRNA